GGCCGGUUAGCUCAGCUGGUUAGAGCAUGGUGCUGAUAACACAAAGGUCACAGGUUCGAGCCCUGUGCUGUCCA